AACGAACGCUGGCGGCAUGCUUAACACAUGCAAGUCGAACGAGCUCUUCGGAGCUAGUGGCGCACGGGUGCGUAACGCGUGGGAAUCUGCCCUUAGGUUCGGAAUAACUCAGGGAAACUUGAGCUAAUACCGGAUGAUGUGUUCGGACCAAAGAUUUAUCGCAUAAGGAUGAGCCCGCGUCGGAUUAGCUAGUUGGUGAGGUAAAAGCUCACCAAGGCGACGAUCCGUAGUUGGUCUGAGAGGAUGAUCAGCCACACUGGGACUGAGACACGGCCCAGACUCCUAGGGGAGGCAGCAGUGGGGAAUAUUGAACAAUGGGCGAAAGCCUGAUCCAGCAAUGCCGCGUGAGUGAUGAAGGCCUUAGGGUUGUAAAACUCUUUUACCCGGGAUGAUAAUGACAGUACCGGGAGAAUAAGCCCCGGCUAACUCCGUGCCAGCAGCCGCCGUAAGAC
rnacentral:rRNA from 1 species